rnacentral:rRNA from 1 species
GAUGAACGCUGGCGGUAUGCUUAACACAUGCAAGUCGAACGGACUCUUCGGAGUUAGUGGCGGUUGGGUGAGUAACGCGUGCGAAUCUGGCUUUGGGUUCGGGACAACCACUGGAAACGGUGGCUAAUACGGGAUGUGCUGAGAGGCAAAAGGGAAAUUGCCUGAAGAUGAGCUCCCGUCUGAUUAGCUAGUUGGUGAGGUAAAGGUACAACAAGGCAGUGAGCAGUAGCUGGUCUUAGAGGAUGUCCAGCCACCCCGGCACUGCGACACCGCACAGCGUCCGACGGGGGGCAGCAGUAUGGAAUUGUCCGCAAUAUGGGAGAGCCUGACGGAGCAAUACCGCGUGAGGUAACAAGAAUCCAGGGUUAUAAACAUAUAUUCUUAGCGGAGAACAAAAUGACGGUACAUAAAGAAACAGCUUCCGCUAACUCCGUG